GCCAUGGACAGCGGAGAUCUCCUGGAGGGAGGAUUGGCUGUGGGAGAGAUAAAGAAAAAACUGCCCCAUGAACAGCAGAGAACUGCCCAGCUCUGACAGAUGGGAAUUGAAUACACACACCCCAGCCACAGCUUGCAUUGCCAACCCAAGACACCUGGAAAUCAAGAAAUCAAGAAUCCAUGGAGCAAAGGCACCAUGGAGGAGUUGCAGCACAGGUGACAGGAACUACUUAGCUAAUCAUCUUCCCAGGAGGAGGGGAGCUAUAAGCACAGGAGCCCAGGAAAUAAUCUCAUUUGUGAUGAGAUUUCCAGCCCAUGCAGCUGCAGCUCCUGGUUUGAAUGGAGUAUUUUAAUUCCCAGUAGUUUUUUCCAACAACAACUCACAUUACAAAAUCCAUCCAAGGCUAUUUUGGACCUGCCUGAUGUAUGACUCAAGGAUCUUUGGAGCUGGCAGACUCCUGGGUGUCCUGGUGGUCUGUGCAUAUGUGUCUCCAAACUGGCAUAGAGAGGCAGUGAACUCUAUCCUGGAGUGAACAUUGUCAGCUACAAAUGCCGGGUUCAAAUCUCUUGCUUGUAGGACAUUUUCAUUCUGGAAUAUCCCUGAUGUUCUCUUAUUACAGCUUAAAAAAAAUCAAAAAGCACAUGAUAGAUUUUGAUCAAGUAAUAAUGCCAGGCACAUUUUGAUAUUUCCACAUAUUUAUGCAUGAAUGGCCAAAAGAAAAAUAAUUCUCCUUUUUUUGUGCCAUCUUGUAAUUUCUUUGUCAG